UGUGCUGGGUGGAUGGUCGCUGGUUCUUUUUGAACGAGAGGAAAGUCCGGGCUUCAUAGAGCGCGAUGGUCGGUAACGCCGACCGGCUGAAUGAUUUAUUGUUUGGUCAGGGCAAGUGCAGCAGAAAGCAAACCGCCUGUGUAAACAGGUAAGGGUGAAACGGUGAGGUAAGAGCUCACCAGCAUGCAGGGUGACCUGUGUGGCUAGGUAAACCCCAUUGGAAGCAAAGCCAAACAGGAAGGAAGGGCGCGCGAGUGCCCCGAGAGCGGCUCGUUCUCGUUGACUUUCGGGUAGGCUGCUCGAGGCGGCAAGCAAUUGUCGUCCUAGAUGAAUGACCAUCAUUACUUCGGUAAUUACAAAACCCGGCUUAUAGCCCAGUCACUUCCU
rnacentral:RNase_P_RNA from 1 species